ACUCCUACGGGAGGCAGCAGUGAGGAAUAUUGGACAAUGGGCGGGAGCCUGAUCCAGCCAUGCCGCGUGCAGGAAGACUGCCCUAUGGGUUGUAAACUGCUUUUGUACAGGAAGAAACACUCCCUCGUGAGGAGCUUGACGGUACUGUAAGAAUAAGGAUCGGCUAACUCCGUGCCAGCAGCCGCGGUAAUACGGAGGAUCCAAGCGUUAUCCGGAAUCAUUGGGUUUAAAGGGUCCGUAGGUGGAUGAUUAAG
rnacentral:rRNA from 1 species